rnacentral:rRNA from 1 species
GAUGAACGCUGGCGGUAUGCUUAACACAUGCAAGUCGAACGGUCACUUCGGUGAUAGUGGCGGACGGGUGAGUAACGCGUGAGAAUCUGUCUUCAGGUCGGGGACAACAGUUAGAAAUGACUGCUAAUACCGGAUGUGCCUUUGGGUGAAAGAUUUAUUGCCUGAAAAAGAGCUCGCGUCAGAUUAGCUAGUAGGUGGUGUAAGAGACUACCUAGGCUCCGAUCUGUAGCUGGUCUGAGAGGACGAUCAGCCACACUGGAACUGAGACACGGUCCAGACUCCUACGGGAGGGAGCAGUGGGGAAUUGUCCGCAAUGGGCGAAAGCCUGACGGAGCAAUACCGCGUGAGGGACGAAGGCUUUUGGGUCGUAAACCUCUUUUCUCAAGGAAGAUGAUGACGGUACUUGAGGAAUAAGCAUCGGCUAACUCUGUG